rnacentral:rRNA from 1 species
UACGUAGGUGGCAAGCGUUGUCCGGAUUUACUGGGCGUAAAGGGCGUGCAGGCGGUCUGUUAAGUGCAGGGUGAAAGCUCCCGGCUCAACUGGGAGAGGUCCUUGCAUACUGGCGGACUUGAGGGGGGUAGAGGAAAGUGGAAUUCCCGGUGUAGUGGUGAUAUGCGUAGAUAUCGGGAGGAACACCUGUGGCGAAGGCGGCUUUCUGGGCCCUACCUGACGCUGAGGGACGAAAGCUAGGGGAGCAAACAGG